rnacentral:antisense_RNA from 1 species
CUUCAGCGAACCCAGCCACAGCGGCCGGUCCGCUGCGCGCUCCUGGCCGUAGGUGGCGAGCAGCGCCUGCGCCUC